UUUUCCUACGGGACGCAGCAGUGGGGAAUAUUGGACAAUGGGGGGAACCCUGAUCCAGCGACGCCGCGUGAGUGAAGAAGUAUUUCGGUAUGUAAAGCUCUAUCAGCAGGGAAGAAGAAAUGACGGUACCUAACUAAGAAGCCCCGGCUAACUACGUGCCAGCAGCCGCGGUAAUACGUAGGGGGCAAGCGUUAUCCGGAUUUACUGGGUGUAAAGGGAGCGUAGACGGUGCAGCAAGUCUGGAGUGAAAGGCAGGGGCCCAACCCCUGGACUGCUCUGGAAACUGUUGUACUUGAGUGCAGGAG
rnacentral:rRNA from 1 species